rnacentral:rRNA from 1 species
CCUACGGGAGGCAGCAGUGAGGAAUAUUGGUCAAUGGACGAGAGUCUGAACCAGCCAAGUAGCGUGAAGGAUGACUGCCCUAUGGGUUGUAAACUUCUUUUAUAUGGGAAUAAAACGUUCCACGUGUGGGAUUUUGUAUGUACCAUAUGAAUAAGGAUCGGCUAACUCCGUGCCAGCAGCCGCGGUAAUACGGAGGAUCCGAGCGUUAUCCGGAUUUAUUGGGUUUAAAGGGAGCGUAGGUGGAUUGUUAAGUCAGUUGUGAAAGUUUGCGGCUCAACCGUAAAAUUGCAGUUGAAACUGGCAGUCUUGAGUACAGUAGAGGUGGGCGGAAUUCGUGGUGUAGCGGUGAAAUGCGUAGAUAUCACGAAGAACUCCGAUUGCGAAGGCAGUUCACUGGACUGCAACUGACACUGAGGCUCGAAAGUGUGGGUAUCAAACAGGAUUAGAUACCCCGGUAGUC